GAUGAACGCUGGCGGCGUGCCUAAUACAUGCAAGUCGAGCGAACAGACGAGGAGCUUGCUCCUCUGACGUUAGCGGCGGACGGGUGAGUAACACGUGGAUAACCUACCUAUAAGACUGGGAUAACUUCGGGAAACCGGAGCUAAUACCGGAUAAUAUAUUGAACCGCAUGGUUCAAUAGUGAAAGACGGUUUUGCUGUCACUUAUAGAUGGGUCCGCGCCGCAUUAGCUAGUUGGUAAGGUAACGGCUUACCAAGGCAACGAUGCGUAGCCGACCUGAGAGGGGGAUCGGCCACACUGGAACUGAGACACGGUCCAGACUCCUACGGGAGGCAGCAGUAGGGAAUCUUCCGCAAUGGGCGAAAGCCUGACGGAGCAACGCGGCGGGAGUGAUGAAGGUCUUCGGAUCGUAAAACUCGGUUAUUAGGGAAGAACAAAUGUGUAAGUAACUAUGCACGUCUUGACGGUACCUAAUCAGAAAGCCACGGCUAACUACGUG
rnacentral:rRNA from 1 species